rnacentral:rRNA from 1 species
GUGCAAGCGUUAUCCGGAUUCACUGGGUUUAAAGGGUGCGUAGGCGGGCAGGUAAGUCAGUGGUGAAAUCUCCGGGCUUAACCCGGAAACUGCCGUUGAUACUAUCUGUCUUGAAUAUUGUGGAGGUAAGCGGAAUAUGUCAUGUAGCGGUGAAAUGCUUAGAUAUGACAUAGAACACCAAUUGCGAAGGCAGCUUACUACACAGUUAUUGACGCUGAGGCACGAAAGCGUGGGGAUCAAACAGG